rnacentral:rRNA from 1 species
AUGCAGUCGACGAUGAUCCCAGCUUGCUGGGGGAUUAGUGGCGAACGGGUGAGUAACACGUGAGUAACCUGCCCUUGACUCUGGGAUAAGCCUGGGAAACUGGGUCUAAUACCGGAUACGACCAUCUGGCGCAUGUCAUGGUGGUGGAAAGCUUUUGUGGUUUUGGAUGGACUCGCGGCCUAUCAGCUUGUUGGUGGGGUAAUGGCCUACCAAGGCGACGACGGGUAGCCGGCCUGAGAGGGUGACCGGCCACACUGGGACUGAGACACGGCCCAGACUCCUACGGGAGGCAGCAGUGGGGAAUAUUGCACAAUGGGCGAAAGCCUGAUGCAGCGACGCCGCGUGAGGGAUGACGGCCUUCGGGUUGUAAACCUCUUUCAGUAGGGAAGAAGCGAAAGUGACGGUACCUGCAGAAGAAGCGCCGGCUAACUACGUGCCAGCAGCCGCGGUAAUACGUAGGGCGCAAGCGUUAUCCGGAAUUAUUGGGCGUAAAGAGCUCGUAGGCGGUUUGUCGCGUCUGCUGUG